GUGGGUGUAGCUCAGUUGGUAGAGCACCAGAUUGUGGAUCUGGUAGUCGAGGGUUCAAGUCCCUUCAUCCACC
rnacentral:tRNA from 1 species